CGCUCGGCCCCGCCUGUGCCCGGGAGCCCCUCGAUCCCAAAGCCUGGGACCAGGCCGCCCAGUACUGGCGAUUGCGCUGUGCUCAGCGGUUGGCGGCCGCAGGGACCGCUGUGUCCUUUCCGUGGUCUUUUCACGUUACCGCUUUGGGCCAGGUGCGAUGUUUAGGCCCUGGAGGACGUUUUAACACCUGCCCGUCUGCUCUCUUGUAGCAUUUCGUAUUUGCUUCAGGGACUUUACUCCUGUCUCCCCAAUAGCCCGUGAGCUUCUGGAGGAUAGGGCUGCAGAAAAUUGAAGUGUGGGGCACUUGGCUCAACUCGGGGCUAACCACAUCGAAGGGUUGCUCAGAAAUACUGGAAAUUCUAGAAUGGUUUAGUUGGAAAGAGCAACGCCUAGAACGUGCUGGGCAAAAAAUAUAUGCAUAUGUGCUGAAUGAAAGAAUCUGAGAACAUCAUCUAGUGCUCUAGAUUUAGAUGAAAUGGUUGUUGUGGCUAAUCUUUCCAACUCAUCCAGAAAAUAUUUAUGAAUUUUAGAGGCCUCAAGCAGAAGUGGGUUCCAGCUGUGGAGGUCUCAGAAGACAGCCAGGGCCUUGGGGAGCACCCCUCAUCUCCACCGAUGGUCUAGCACAUAGAGCCCAGAACGUGCUAAGCUAGGGCACUCAGAG
rnacentral:lncRNA from 1 species